CAGUCGCCGCGGUAAUACGUAGGGUGCGAGCGUUAAUCGGAAUUACUGGGCGUAAAGCGUGCGCAGGCGGUUCGUUAAGACAGAUGUGAAAUCCCCGGGCUUAACCUGGGAACUGCAUUUGUGACUGGCGAGCUAGAGUAUGGCAGAGGGGGGUAGAAUUCCACGUGUAGCAGUGAAAUGCGUAGAGAUGUGGAGGAAUACCGAUGGCGAAGGCAGCCCCCUGGGCCAAUACUGACGCUCAUGCACGAAAGCGUGGGGAGCAAACAGGAUUAGAGACCCGAGUAGUCCCUGUCUCUUAUAC
rnacentral:rRNA from 1 species